UACGUAGGGGGCAAGCGUUAUCCGGAUUUACUGGGUGUAAAGGGAGCGUAGACGGCAUGGCAAGCCAGAUGUGAAAACCCAGGGCUCAACCCUGGGACUGCAUUUGGAACUGUCAGGCUGGAGUGCAGGAGAGGUAAGCGGAAUUCCUAGUGUAGCGGUGAAAUGCGUAGAUAUUAGGAGGAACACCAGUGGCGAAGGCGGCUUACUGGACUGUAACUGACGUUGAGGCUCGAAAGCGUGGGGAGCAAACAGG
rnacentral:rRNA from 1 species